GCAUGAAGCUGGAAUCGCAGUAAUCGCGGAUCAGAAUGCCGCGGUGAAUACGUUCCCGGGUCUUGUACACACCGCCCGUCACACCAUGGGAGUCGGGAAUGCCCGAAGCCGGUGGCCCAAUCGAAAGAAGGGAGCCGUCGAAGGCAGGCCGGAUGACUGGGGUGAAGUCGUAACAAGGUAAC
rnacentral:rRNA from 1 species